UCAGCAAGGAUUUCUAUACACGCUCAAGAAGGUGGCACGUGUGGAAGUGCAUUGUCGAGUUGCAUCUAACAAGUGUUGCGGGUGCUCAACACCGACCACAAGCUUUCUCCAUCAUUUAUUUGUUCUAUGAAAGGGUGAUACGGAGAAGAAGGCGACCCGAGCGGUAAUGCCAAAAGCAGAGCAAAGUUUGGAGCCAGAUGGUAGGAAAGUUCAUUAUCUUCGAUAAGUGUCACAUGAACUUCAACUUUAUUGAGAAUUUGCACAUUUUCACGCGUUGUUGAGGGUUUUAUAGGAUAAUUGGCGCAUCCAAUAUAUAUUUUAAAUAUGUUUACAUGAUUA